GACAGAGGUGCCGAGCGUUAGGCGGAAUCACUGGGCUUAAAGCGUGUGUAGGCGGGUCGUUAAGUGUCCGUGUGAAAUCCCACCGCUCAACGGUGGAACCGCCGGGCAUACUGGCGAUCUUGAGCAGUCCAGGGGCGAGCGGAACAAGCGGUGGAGCGGUGAAAUGCGUAGAUAUCGCUUGGAACGCCGAAGGUGAAAACAGACUGCUGGGGUUGCGCCGACGCUGAGACACGAAAGCCAGGGGAGCAAACGGG
rnacentral:rRNA from 1 species